ACCAAAAGAUGACUUUAACAGAACUCCAUCCCUCUGAUGCCUUCUGUCCUAAACUGCUGUGUUACAACCUAAGGGCAGCGAUCAGCUCACGGCUGCUACAACAGCAUUUCCACCCUGCAGCACGCCCACACGUAGAGACAAUGGCAGUGAGUAGGAAGGAGAGGAGCAAGCAGAAAAAAAAAGGCAGGCUGGCAGGGAGCAAGAGUGGUUCUGUAACAGGACUCUGUUCUGACGGAACGGUUAUGGGAAGCAUUUGCCACAUCCCCCUGCUGCAAGGUCCAUGGAAAAGAGGACCAACAGAAAACACUGGAAAACUACUGCACUACAUUAAGUAAAUAUAUUGUUCACAAACUAAGUGUGUAAGCUGACCCUUACUUAGUUAGUCAGCCCUUGUACCUGAGAGCGUUGCUCCCUUUCCUUCCCCAGCAUGUCUUUCUUGAUCAUGAUUUUGGGGAGAAAGUUCACUGCCUUCCCUUUCUACUGACCACUGAGUAUAUGAACUACCAAAGGCAUCAAGAAUCUGACUAUUAACGUCACAAAGCAUCUGAUCUUCAAUUACCUAACUCGUCUCUCUGAACAGUUAAGGACACUGUUCCAAUUAUGGACAAUCAGCCAGCAGUUUUCACUAUAA